UACGUAGGGGGCCAGCGUUGUCCGGAUUCAUUGGGCGUAAAGCGCGUGUAGGCGGCCAGGUAGGUCCGAUGUGAAAUCUGGAGGCUCAACCUCCAGCGGUCAUUGGAAACCAUCUGGCUAGAGUCCGGAAGAGGAGAGUGGAAUUCCUGGUGUAGCGGUGAAAUGCGCAGAUAUCAGGAAGAACACCGAUGGCGAAGGCAGCUCUCUGGGACGGUACUGACGCUGAGACGCGAAAGCGUGGGGAGCAAACGGG
rnacentral:rRNA from 1 species